GUGAGUGAACGAGAACGAGUGCGGGAGAGGGGGCACGCCAAAUAAAACAGUUGUGGUGGCAAUUGAAUUUGUAUUCACAGUAAAGUAGGUUAACCCAGUUAAAAGUCAGAAAUCCAAUUGCAGCUGCAGAUCUACACGGCUGUGGCGGCGGAUCUCCUGGGGUUUGGGAAUGUUCCUCUCAUUCACCCUGGUUUGAAAACGUCACACUGUAUCAGCACGCUAUGAACGUGUUCGCCAGAGUGGCGUGUUUUGGUCCAGCGUGCUGGGCUGCUGGCAGACUGGGCAGUGGACAGGAUUGUCAGAGCAUGUCUCAUACCUCUCUUUGUGCACUGCAGCCCAGGGCAGAAGAGUCAACCUGGCCUUGACACUAUGUGAUGCUAAUCCUCUCAUAUCCCCCAAUGAGGGCAAGGAUGAGUGGAAAGAUGAUGUGUGGACAAAGAGAGAUGGAGGAGAGCGAGAGCAUACGGUUGGAUAAUGACUUCACAACACUGAGGACAUCAAGAGCCAUGUCUGUUCAUUAAAAUAAAGAAACCAGAGCAUGAAA